rfam:Zancudomyces culisetae strain COL-18-3 scaffold-304, whole genome shotgun sequence.
GGUUCUGUGGCCCAAUGGAUAAGGCGCUUGACUACGAAUCAAGAGAUUCCAGGUUCGAGUCCUGGCUGGAUCA